UACGUAGGCAGCGAGCGUUGUUCGGAGUUACUGGGCGUAAAGGGUGCGUAGGCGGUUGUUUAAGUUGGUGUGAAAUCUCCCGGCUCAACCGGGAGGGUGCGCCGAAUACUGAAUGACUAGAGUGCGGGAGAGGAAAGUGGAAUUCCCGGUGUAGCGGUGAAAUGCGCAGAUAUCAGGAGGAACACCGAUGGCGAAGGCAGGUCUCUGGGCCACUACUGACGCUGAGAAGCGAAAGCAUGGGGAGCAAACAGG
rnacentral:rRNA from 1 species